GGCAUCAUAUUGACACUGAGGUUCGAAAGCGUGGGUAGCAAACAGGAUUAGAUACCCUGGUAGUCCACGCCGUAAACGAUGUCUACUAGUCGUUGGGUCCCUUGAGGACUUAGUGACGCAGCUAACGCAAUAAGUAGACCGCCUGGGGAGUACGGCCGCAAGGUUAAAACUCAAAUGAAUUGACGGGGGCCCGCACAAGCGGUGGAGCAUGUGGUUUAAUUCGAUGCAACGCGAAGAACCUUACCUGGUCUUGACAUAUCUAGAAUCCUGCAGAGAUGCGGGAGUGCCUUCGGGAAUUAGAAUACAGGUGCUGCAUGGCUGUCGUCAGCUCGUGUCGUGAGAUGUUGGGUUAAGUCCCGCAACGAGCGCAACCCUUGUCCUUAGUUACCAGCGGGUUAAGCCGGGAACUCUAAGGAUACUGCCAGUGACAAACUGGAGGAAGGCGGGGACGACGUCAAGUCAUCAUGGCCCUUACGACCAGGGCUACACACGUGCUACAAUGGUAGGUACAGAGGGCAGCUACACAGCGAUGUGAUGCGAAUCUUUCAAAGCCUAUCGUAGUCCAGAUUGGAGUCUGCAACUCGACUCCAUGAAGUAGGAAUCGCUAGUAAUCGCGGAUCAGAAUGCCGCGGUGAAUACGUUCCCGGGCCUUGUACACACCGCCCGUCACACCAUGGGAGUUGAUUGCACCAGAAGUGGUUAGCCUAACGUAAGAGGGCGAUCACCACGGUGUGGUUGAUGACUGGGGUGAAGUCGUAACAAGGUAACCGUA
rnacentral:rRNA from 1 species